rnacentral:rRNA from 1 species
AAAAAUCCGUGUCCCACAUAUCCUGAGAGGUGAUGCGUAGCCGUUGAGGCGAAAUCCAUGAUCCUAUGCUGCCGAGAAAAGCCUCUAGCGAGCUGGUACACGGCCCGUACCCCAAGCCGACACAGGUGGUCAGGUAGAGAAUACUAAGGCGAUCGAGAGAACUGUGGUUAAGGAACUCGGCAAAAUGCCCCCGUAACUUCGGGAGAAGGGGGACCAGCCCUGGUGACGAAACUUGCUUUCCGAGCUGGGGGUGGUCGCAGAGACCAGAGAGAAGCGACUGUUUACUAAAAACACAGGUCCGUGCGAAGUCGUAAGACGAUGUAUACGGACUGACGCCUGCCCGGUGCUGGAAGGUUAAGAGGACCGGUCAGCCACUUCGGUGGCGAAGCUGAGAAUUUAAGCCCCAGUAAACGGCGGUGGCAACUAUAACCAUCCUAAGGUAGCGAAAUUCCUUGUCGGGUAAGUUCCGACCUGCACGAAUGGCGUAACGACUUCUCUGCUGUCUCAACCACAGACUCGGCGAAAUUGCAGUACGAGUAAAGAUGCUCGUUACGCGCGGCAGGACGAAAAGACCCCGGGACCUUCACUAUAGCUUGGUAUUGGUGUUCGGUUCGGUUUGUGUAGGAUAGGUGGGAGACUGUGAAGCGGGCACGCCAGUGCUCGUGGAGUCGUUGUUGAAAUACCACUCUGACCGUAUUGGACCUCUAACCUCGGACCAUGAUCUGGUUCAGGGACAGUGCCUGGUGGGUAGUUUAACUGGGGCGGUUGCCUCCCAAAAAGUAACGGAGGCGCCCAAAGGUUCCCUCAGCCUGGUUGGCAAUCAGGUGUUGAGUGUAAGUGCACAAGGGAGCUUGACUGUGAGACGUACAUGUCGAGCAGGGACGAAAGUCGGGACUAGUGAUCCGGCACCGGCAAGUGGAAGCGGUGUCGCUCAACGGAUAAAAGGUACCCCGGGGAUAACAGGCUGAUCUUCCCCAAGAGUCCAUAUCGACGGGAUGGUUUGGCACCUCGAUGUCGGCUCGUCGCAUCCUGGGGCUGGAGUAGGUCCCAAGGGUUGGGCUGUUCGCCCAUUAAAGCGGCACGCGAGCUGGGUUUAGAACGUCGUGAGACAGUUCGGUCUCUAUCCGCCGCGCGCGUAAGAAACUUGAGGAAACCUGUCCCUAGUACGAGAGGACCGGGACGGACGAACCUCUGGUGUGCCAGUUGUUCCACCAGGAGCACCGCUGGUUAGCUACGUUCGGAAGGGAUAACCGCUGAAAGCGUCUAAGCGGGAAGCCUGUUCCAAGAUGAGGUUUCUCACCACCUAGCGUGGGUAAGGCCCCCCACAGACCAUGGGGUUGAUAGGCCAGAACUGUAAGCACAGCAAUGUGUUCAGGUGACUGGUACUAAUCGGCCGAGGACUUACC